rnacentral:rRNA from 1 species
CCUACGGGGUGCAGCAGUAGGGAAUUUUCGUCAAUGGGCGCAAGCCUGAACGAGCGAUGCCACGUGAGUGAAGAAGGCCUUCGGGUCGUAAAGCUCUGUUUCGGGGGAAAAAAAGCAGCAUCAGGAAAUGGGUGCUGGCUGAUGGUACCACGCCAGAAAGUCACGGCUAACUACGUGCCAGCAGCCGCGGUAAUACGUAGGUGGCGAGCGUUAUCCGGAAUGAUUGGGCGUAAAGGGUGCGCAGGCGGUCCUGCAAGUCUGGAGUGAAACGCAUGAGCUCAACUCAUGCAGGGCUUUGGAAACUGGAGGACUGGAGAGAAGGAGAGGGAGGUGGAACGCCAUGUGUAGCGGUAAAAUGCGUAGAUAUAUGGAAGAACACCAGUGGCGAAGGCGGCCGCCUGGCCUGUUGCUGACGCUGAGGCACGAAAGCGUGGGGAGCAAAUAGGAUUAGAUACCCGUGUAGUC